CAGGAAUGAAAUAAAGGCACAGGAAGUCAGAGAAAUGUCACCGGCAGGUACUUGAGUUUUUUCCUCUUUUUAUAUCCAACAUUAUGAGUAAAAAUCGCUCUGAUUACAUUCACUCAAUAGAGAAUCACGUCCAGUUUCAGCUCAGUCUGGAUGGUGAAACUGGACCAAAUAGAAAAUUCAACAUUACCGUUUCUCUGGAGGCUUUAAUGUGUCAGAAAAGUGUUUAAAACACUUGCUGCUCGUCUUUAAAUCCCUUAUUAGCCCAGGACUAAAAUCCAUCUCUGUCCUUAACUGAAUAAACCCUCAGACUCUCAUCAGGCUGCUCACUGAGCAAAAGACUACACCGAGAAAAGCAGAUUAACUUGUGCAGAAGAGAGUGACAGCCACUGAAAACGGUUCUUUAAGGUCCGAUCAUUUUUCUUCAAGUUUUGACUUUUAUGUCAAAAGUCUGAGAAGAAAAGUAAAGUUGAAAAUUCAGUCUUAUUUUUUCUGUUUUUUUUUCAGGCGUCCUGCAGAGUUUGAAAAAUGAAAAUGCUGCAGCAGAGCGCUGACCAGAACCAGGAGAAGAGAGCACUUCUGUUAGCCUCUCUUCACUGACUUCAUAAUAAAUUUAGACUCAAAUAAAAAACUCUUCUUCAGAUGGUCAGGCACCAUCAUGUCCGGAAGAGCUCGUAGUUCACGAUUAUCCUCCCAGAACACUCCGGUCUCAGCAUGCAGACCAGCUCAUCGUACCUAAAGUCUC